AUGCAGCCCUCAUCGUCCAUCCGUCCAUCCAUCCAUCCAUCCAUCCAUCCGUGCCUCCCUUCCUUACCCCAAAUCCUUUUCGCUCUGCCACUCUCAACUCCCAGCCAAGAACUCUCCCAGCUACAGGAAGUCUCUGAUUCUCACCUCCUUCUGCACCCUCUUUCCUUCUAUUCCCAUACUUCUCUUAUAAUCUCAGCCCUUUUCCAUGCGAUUUCCCCAUUUUGCCUCUCCUGCUCUGUUUUUCUCUAUUACCCUGAUUCCGCCUCACAAAAACUAGUAAGCAUUGGAUCAUUUUUUUUUUUAAGUGAACAGGGGAGGGGAAAAUGUGAUAAUACAGUAUUUUUCUUUUUAAUUUUUUUUUAUCAGCCAUUGAUGGCUCAAAUUCUACCUCCAGAAAGUAAGUCUGAUGGCACUUUAAGGUUUCUUUUGUUUGUUCCUUUAACAAAUGUCAGUGGAUCUUGUGCUAUUUAUUUGCCCCAUGUGCCAGGAAACGUGUAUGGUGCUGGGCUAAGUGUUGGUGACUCAGAGACAAAUGUAUUUUUUCCUGCCCUUAAAGAUUUAUACAUCCUAAGAGAAAUAAAAAGCUCAACAUAUUAUUUCUUCUUUAGGAAUCCCUUAUUGAAAUGCGGCUGUCUCUGGAAGGAUAACUUAUACCCCACUCAUUCUCAGAUGCUGGGAUUGGGGAAAGAUGGAAAGUUCCACAGUCAACAUUAUGCAAGAUUUUCAAAGGAAACAAGCUGGAACAUAAUUUGAGUUACUGGGCAAACACACAGGCCCACAGUUGGCAACCUCACCAGCACGAAAAGUAGGGUCAAGGAUCUUCUGGACCCCAUCCCAUUGUAAGAACUGCUUUACCUGAGAAUGUUGUUCAGAAGAGGAGACACGUAAGUAAACGGGCAUUAGGUGCAUUGCCCUCAUUUUGCAUUUUGAAGCUUCUCCGUGCUUCCAAGGGUGUCCAGAAGGCCAGCUAACUCCAUUCUGGAUGUACGUAGUAAAGGUACUGCUUUGCCCAGUUUCUGUCCCAGUGUGUGAAGUUGAAAAUGUAAUGAGCAUAUCUGUGAACAAAAAUAUUUUUUGUUAUUGUCCUUGGUAAAAAAGGAAGCAAAUAGACACACUCUUUCAAAUGCUGAUUCCAACAUCUGUCCUCCAAAAUCAGUAUUAAUGUAUUCUCUUCAAAUUAGGGACUUUUGAUUUUCCAUGGAUAACAAGAAUAUUAGCUAUGCCUUUUUUGUGCCAUUUCUGUUAAAAUUUUAAACACCCUUUCGUUCAAUGCGUUGUUCAAUUCAGCUGAGGUUGGGGGGUGAGAUGUCUAUUAGUAGGAAACCAAGUACAUAUCCUGUGUCCUCAUAUGGUAUCAUUUCAAGCUUGUCAAUUCUUUUUUUUAUGUUUAUAUGAAUGCUUUUACUUAUUCAUAACCCAUUUACUUCCACAAAGUAGUUGAAGCAAUUCACAAGAAAAUAUACCAUAAAAUAGAAAGCUAUAAAUAAACUAUAAUCAGGAUCAGAGAAAUUGUAGGGCAAUUAGAAUAUCAAGACAAGGAUGUAGGUUGUAGUCUAUAUACUUUGGGCAUCAUUAUUAAAGAGGAAUCAUAAAUUUCACGUCAACCUUGGAGGCAAUCAAAGAGAUCUGUUGCGGGAUUUAUAGCAUCCAUAAAAAUAAACAUGGGUGUCGAGUGGAAAAGAAUACAAAAGUUCCGUGAAUUUUUAACAUAAAACAGAAGAAAUUGUACUCACUGCUUAGGGCUAUGCCUCCAACUCCCCCAGGAAUAUGAGUGUCGUCUUUUCUGAUGAUGAGGGUAAAAAAAGUUGGUCAAGUACCACCUUGGGGGAAGUCAAAUUUUCUUUCCCACAUAAGUCUGAGAAAAUUUUCUUAAUGUAUUUUUCUAGAUGAGACACCGAGUGAAGCAGUAGAAGUAGUAGAGUGAAGCUAUGUCCCUAUAGCAUAUACAAUAAAGAUUUUCAAAUAGUUGCUUCUCAGGAUGUCCCUCAAAGGCAACAAAGGACACAGCAACUGUGUGCAACUGUGUGCAAUCCAGUGGAAGAAAUUCUGUGGCCCCAAAUCAUGUGGUUUCAGUUUAUGAGCUCAAAUCUUAAAAUUGCCCAUAGGAUUGAGAACAGGGAAUGAGCUAGAACCCUUAGCAACCAAACUCCAUCAAAACAGCGUCAUGGUUGGAACGCUUGUCAUGUGGCAGGCAUUCCAACCACGAUGCUUGUUUGAAUGAAUUGUUUUACUUUUUACAAUGACGCUCUAAGGUAUGGGCAGUGGUCACCACUCUUGGUUGCAGGUGAUCAAAGUCCAGCUCAAACUACCCUAUGGAAAAAGGGAGAAGGAAAGAGAGAGAGAGAGAUUUAUUAGAGGGUUGUCUAAAAGCCCUGGGCUAGAUGGAGCCUGUGGGUCUAUCAGCAACCACAGGGGAUACUUUCUUUUCUGAGUGGGAAAACGGCAUCCCAGAGUACCAGGUUUCUCUUACACAACCAUCAACGCCAGUUUAGAGAGGAGACUCUGAUUAGCCAUUUGGGGCUCUCUGGCCUUCUCUUGGCUCAGUCAGUGUGUCUACGAGGAUGUGGCCCUCUGAUUGGGUGGCCUGUUGCGGGGGAGGGUGAGUCCCUCCACUGACAAUAUCACAAGAAUCUCCUGGAGUUGGGGGAGAAGGAGAAUUGCAAGAAAGAAUGGAUGCAGGGCAGACAAAAGUGCCACACAGACUCUGCAGUAGGUGUUAUGAUCCUCACUUUACAGAUGAGAAGAUGGGGGCCAACGACAUCAAAUGGCAAAGCCCAGAUGAGAUUGUGAAUCCUGCCAUAGGCAUAAUUGGUUAGGUUAUGAUGUGGUAACCAGAAAUAAAACCCCAAUGUAAUGGCUCAGUGCAUCAAAACUUGAGUUCUUACUCCCCUUACAGGCCUGACUCAGACUAAAGUUUGGAGAGGUUCUGCUCCCCACAGUACUCAAGGACCCAGGUCAACAGUGAAGGUUCUAGCAUCCAGAAGACCUGGAUUCAAGGCUCAUACAGCAAAGGAAAAGAGAUACAUGAAACACACAGACUGUGCUCACUCCCCAGGAUGCGGCACAUGCUUCUGCCUAACAGCAAGAUGGUUAGGGAAUGGGGGGGGGGUGGGGAAUAGAAAGGCUCAUGGGAUGUACAUGGGUAUUUGUGAGUAUUAAAUAUCUUCACCAUUGAGUUCUGUCUGACUCCUUUGUGUCUUAUAUAUCGUACGUCAGUUGUAUAUUCCUUAAGUGCCACAGAAGCAAAUGGGAGUAGGAAGAAUUUCUGGGCAGCCUCUCACCCUAGCAACCAUGAAUGAGAAAGAGACGGAUAUACUAGACCCUCCUGUGAUCCUGCGAGAAAGAAUUGAGAACACAGCAGGCUGACAGAGGCUGCCCAGGCCCCUGCCUUCCCUCCAGGAGCCACAGAGAAGGGGGCUGGCGUGGUAACUGAUUGCUCUGUGGGACUGGCCAGAGCCAGUCCAGCCAAGAGAGAGCCUCCCUCAGGCUGCCAGGUUCUGGCCUAAAUCUCCAAAGCCAUUGUGCUUUGAAGCUGCAAUUGUGUUUCUGAAUUUAGCUUUUUACAUGAUUUGAAUUCCUGUCAACAACAGCAGGCUGUGAUGGUAGAUGCAGGAAUUCAAGGGCAUCUGGAUUAAUCUGGAAUAAUCUAGAUAAAUCCUUGCCUUAUUAAUACCCACUGUUUUUAUGCCAAACGCCUACUUAACUCCAUAUCUGCAAGAGCCAAACAGUGAACCCUGAACACACACUUGGCCUCUUCUGGCCUCAACCAGAAUCUGACUGAAGAGGGGGUGUAGGAGACCUCUUUCACCUGGACCCCACCUAGGAUGGGGUCUUCAGAAGGUUCAGGAGGAAAGCUCAGGCCAAGAGGAAAAAGAAAAAGAAGGUUUCCAGAAGACAGUGCUAAGAGAAAACAGGACUUUUAACUUCUUGGCUUCUCUUACCGUGAACCCUACCCUCAGUCUCAUGGCCACCAUCUGAGAUGUUCCCAGAGGCUUCAUUAUUGAGCACCUCCUAUUUUCACAUACGGUAUCUGUGGAGAGACUACAGACUCUUACUGACUAUUCCUAACACUCCUGGACAUUGUGCAGGGUGAGACCGGCUGACAUCUAAGAAGUGUCCGCAGAAGUGACGAUAAUCCCCCGGUGCUUGGGGAAGAGCCAGAAACAGCCAGUGUCUUCUUCCAUCCUGCUCUUCCCAGCAUCCGAGAGCACUCCGAAGACCACCUGUGCCAGACAGGGAGAGAUGUUCCACGUCAUCAGACUUUACAUGUGCAAGAAAUAAAAUCUGAUUGUGCAUGCUGAGACUUUCGGAUGUGUCUGCUGUGGCCGUUAGCAUUCAUGAGCCUAGUGCAAUGUGUAAAAAAUCUUCAUGUUUAAAAAAAAAAAAUACGGUAUUCUCUUUGGGAAGGUACUUUGUUCUGAAGAAGCUAAUACUUUGUACGUAGUUCUUACCUGCCUCUCCCUUUCUCGGGACUCUUCUGUUACCGAUUCCCAGCCCGGUGCAGGUAAACUUCAGUUUUCUGCUUUUCCUUCCCCAUGGAACAUGGCGUCAUUUGGCUUAAAAGAAGAUGUACCACUUUGACAUUGAUGAUAAUGUCAACUCUGGUAUGAACGACAUUAAACUUACCGUGCUUAUGCAUCUUCACUCUCAUCUCAGCACCCUUGCUGUUUUGUUAAUAUAUACGUAUUCAUAUAAAAUAAUAAGAUAAAAAAUAAGAACAUAUUCAUGGGCUUUCCUGAACAUACCUGCCCAUCCCAAACUCAACCACCGGUCGACAAAAAGGUUCGAUGGCUUCGUGUUUUCUGAUUUGUUUGAAAGUCUGAAUUCAGCAGAAGUCCGGGGCUUGAGGGGUUUGGAGAAGACUGUCUGGCAGUGUGAUGACACCAGAUGGAAGCCCAUAAACCUGUGAGGAUAUGCCUCCUGGGCUUCUGCGGGGGCCUUUCCAGCCUUGCUGUUCCCCACGCCUCGCAGGCUCACAUAGCAAACCAUUACCUCACUAUCUCUUUCUCAACAUUUGGUUUUUUCCUGAAAUGUCACAUAUGUAGAGAAGACUUUUUUCAUCACCCAGGUAACUGCUCUCCCACACAAACAACAACGAGAACAAAACAGUGAUAUAGGAUUUCGGGGGGACAAUUGAGGCAAUUUCCAAUUUCACAUCACAUUAAAUAAUGUUAGUGUCUAUUAGUGACUUUUUUGUGUGUCAUCAUGACAUUGUGGUUAUAGGGGUACAUACCCUGAACUUGGGGAGUAUUUGCUGGACUGUUCAGAGAUAAAGUUACAUGAUGUCUAUAGCUUCAAAGGUUUCAACAAGAACAAACACGUAUGCAAACAAAGACGUGCACACAUCUGGAAGAGGG
rnacentral:lncRNA from 1 species